rnacentral:rRNA from 1 species
UACGGAGGGUGCGAGCGUUGUCCGGAAUCACUGGGCGUAAAGGGCGCGUAGGUGGCCUGUGGAAGUCGUGCGGUGAAAGCCCGGCGCUCAACCCCGGGUCGGCCGUGCGAACUGUCGAGCUGGAGCACUGUAGAGGCAGGUGGAAUUCCGGGUGUAGCGGUGGAAUGCGUAGAGAUCCGGAAGAACACCGGUGGCGAAGGCGGCCUGCGUGGGCAGUGGCUGACGCUGAGGCGCGACGAGCGUGGGGAGGCAAACAGG